CUACGGGUGGCAGCAGUGGGGAAUAUUGGACAAUGGGGGAAACCCUGAUCCAGCAAUGCCGCGUGUGUGAAGAAGGCCUGCGGGUUGUAAAGCACUUUCGGUUGGGAGGACUGCUUCUAGCACUAAUAUUGUUGGAAGUUGACGUUACCUUCAGAAGAAGCACCGGCGUAACUCCGUGCCAGCAGCCGCGGUAAUACGGAGGGUGCAAGCGUUAAUCGGAAUUACUGGGCGUAAAGCGCGCGUAGGCGGCUAGAUCAGUCGGGUGUGAAAGCCCCGGGCUUAACCUGGGAACUGCAUCCGAUACUGUCUAGCUUGAGUACAGGAGAGGAGAGUGGAAUUCCACAUAUAGCGGUGAAAUGCGUAGAUAUGUGGAAGAACACCGGUGGCGAAAGCGGUUUUCUAGCUUAUAACUGACGCUGAGGUGCGAAAGCAAGGGGAGCAAACAGGAUUAGAUACCCCGGUAGUC
rnacentral:rRNA from 1 species